rnacentral:lncRNA from 1 species
AAAACAAAAACAAAGAAAGUGUAAAGUAUGUGCUGGGGUACAAGCAAACUCCAAAGGUGAUCAGACAAGGCAAAGUGAAAUUGAUUAUGCUCACCAACAACUGCCCCACUUUGAGGAAAUCCAAAAUAGGAUACUGUGCCAUGUUGGCCAAAAGUGGUGUUCAUUACUACAGUGGCAAUAAUAUUGAAUUGGACACAAUGUGCAGAAAAUACUGCAGAGUAUGUGCACACUGAUCCAGGUGAUUCUGAUAUCAUUAGAGGCAUGCCAAACAGAUUGGUGAAAAGUAAAUGAUGCAAAAUGUUUCUUUUAC